rnacentral:rRNA from 1 species
AAAUUGAAGAGUUUGAUCAUGGCUCAGAUUGAACGCUGGCGGCAGGCCUAACACAUGCAAGUCGAACGGUAACAGGAAGCAGCUUGCUGCUUCGCUGACGAGUGGCGGACGGGUGAGUAAUGUCUGGGAAACUGCCUGAUGGAGGGGGAUAACUACUGGAAACGGUAGCUAAUACCGCAUAACGUCGCAAGACCAAAGAGGGGGACCUUCGGGCCUCUUGCCAUCGGAUGUGCCCAGAUGGGAUUAGCUAGUAGGUGGGGUAACGGCUCACCUAGGCGACGAUCCCUAGCUGGUCUGAGAGGAUGACCAGCCACACUGGAACUGAGACACGGUCCAGACUCCUACGGGAGGCAGCAGUGGGGAAUAUUGCACAAUGGGCGCAAGCCUGAUGCAGCCAUGCCGCGUGUAUGAAGAAGGCCUUCGGGUUGUAAAGUACUUUCAGCGGGGAGGAAGGGAGUAAAGUUAAUACCUUUGCUCAUUGACGUUACCCGCAGAAGAAGCACCGGCUAACUCCGUGCCAGCAGCCGCGGUAAUACGGAGGGUGCAAGCGUUAAUCGGAAUUACUGGGCGUAA